GCUAGGGACACGGACUUGUCUGGAUGUGUUCAGGCCGCGUGAGCCACACAGGCCUUCAACAUGGCCAUGCUAAGAAGACACACAGGCGUGUUGCCCAUCGACACGGGUGUGUGCCCCUAUGAUGCUUGAAAUUUUACAAAGUUUUCUAUAGUGCACAGGUUUGUCCCAAAUCAAUUCCAAAGUGUGUUUGGGGCCUCGC
rnacentral:lncRNA from 1 species